CAGGCCGGGACUGACAGGAGCGCGUGCAGAGGUCAUCGUUGCUCCCGUGCACGACCCAACGGCUCCACUCGCGGUCCCCCACGUAGAGCAUCACCGUUCGCAGCGCGUUGUUGCCGUAAUUGAAGUACAGCCGCAUCCCGGCCAGCGCCAGCAGCCCUCCGUCCCCGCACUCCCACCGCUGCAGCCCUCCGUCCUCCCGGCACGGCCUCAACUCCACGACGGACAGAUUCCUCCCCGCCGCCGCCGUGACGCACCGCCGCCGCUCCGCGUUCCACAGCCGCUUCCCCGGCAGCCACUGGAAGCGUUGCGCGGCCGCUUCGGGACGGCACGGGGCCGCCGUCAGCUGCUGCCCCCGCGCCUCCACGCACAUAUUGUGAGCUCUGUUGUACAGCAGGAAGGAGCGGGACGCUGCGGGGGAGGCGACGGGAGAGGAGGAACACGUUGAGCAGCACCGAGACCCCCAGGGCCACGGCGCCCACCAGCAGCAGCCUGUCCUGGGGGCAGCUCUGCCGUGCCGGGGACACUGAGGGAGGUGACAGUGGGUCCUGAUGGGGGCCGCAGGACCCCAAUUUGGGCUGCAUUGCCACGUCCCUAUGGGACACCCACGCCGUACCUGGGGGGUCAGGGCUGGGCUGGAGGUGACGCUGACGGUGACGGUCCACAAUGCGGGGACAGGAAGGACUGGGGGACACCCAUAAUGGCAUCUGG
rnacentral:lncRNA from 1 species